rnacentral:rRNA from 1 species
GAUGAACGCUGGCGGCGUGCCUAAUACAUGCAAGUCGAGCGAACAGACGAGGAGCUUGCUCCUCUGACGUUAGCGGCGGACGGGUGAGUAACACGUGGAUAACCGACCUAUAAGACUGGCAUAACUUCGGGAAACCGGAGCUAAUACAGGACCAUAUAUUGAACCGCAUGGUUCAAUAGUGAAAGACGGUUUUGCUGUCACUUAUAGAUGGAUCCGCGCCGCAUUAGCUAGUUGGUAAGGUAACGGCUUACCAAGGCAACGAUGCGUAGCCGACCUGAGAGGAUGAUCAGUCACACUGGAACUGAGACACGGUCCAGACUCCUACGGGAGGCAGCAGUAGGGAAUCUUCGGCAAAGGGCGAAAGCCUGACGGAGCAACGCCGCGUGAGUGAUGAAGGUCUUCGGAUCGUAAAACUCUGUUAUUAGGGAAGAACAAAUGUGUAAGUAACUAUGCACGUCUUGACGGUACCUACUCAGAAAGCCACGGCUAACUACGUG